rnacentral:piRNA from 1 species
UAGUGGAAGAAAGGCCUGAAUUCAUUGCU